CAGCCGUAAACGAUGUGCGUUAGGUGUAUCGACGACCACGAGUUGUCGAGGUGCCGAAGGGAAACCGUGAAACGUACCGCCUGGGAAGUACGGUCGCAAGGCUGAAACUUAAAGGAAUUGGCGGGGGAGCACCACAACAGGUGGAGCCUGCGGUUUAAUUGGACUCAACGCCGGACAUCUCACCGGAUAAGACAGCUGAAUGAUUGCCGGGCUGAAGACUCUGCAUGACUAGCUGAGAGGAGGUGCAUGGCGUAGACGUCU
rnacentral:rRNA from 1 species